GACACCAUCAGGGCGCAGUCGGUGCCCUCGUAGCGCAGGUGCAGGAACGGCUCCGUGCGGAUCUGAGCCCUGCGGGGACACGCGGUGGCACCUGUGUCACCCUGGCACUGUGUCACCCUGGCACCCUGUCACCCUGGCACCACGUCACCCUGGCACUGUGUCACCCUGGCACCACGUCACCCUGGCACCCUGGCACCAGUGUCACUGACACUGUGUCACCCUGGCACCCUGGCACUGUGUCACCCUGGCACCCUGGCACCACAUUGUGUCACUGACACUGUGUCACCCUGGCACUGUGUCACCCUGGCACCACAUUGUGUCACUGACACUGUGUCACCCUGGCACUGCCACCACGUUACCCACACUGUCACCCUGGCACCCACACUGUCACAUGGUGUCCUGUCACCCUGGCACCAUGUCCCCAGCGCCAUAUGUCCCCAUAUCACUGCCACCAUGUCACCCUGGCACCAGUGUCACCGCCACUGCAUCACCAGUGUCACCAUGUUACCUGUCCCAGUGUCACAGCCACCGCAUCACCCUGUCACCGUGUCACCGUGUCACUGCAUCAUCCUGUCCCAGUGUCACUGCCACUGUGUCACGCUGUCACUAUGUCACCAGUGUCACCACCACCACAUCACGCUGUCACUGCAUCACCUUUGCACCGUGUCACCCUGUCACCCUGACCCUGUGUCACUGCAUCACCAUGUCUGGUGUCCCCUGUCCCCAGUGUCACCUGUCCUGCCUGUCCCCAUCCCCGCCGUCCCCUCUGUCCCCGUCCCCCCGGCGCUCCCGCCCGCCCCCAUCCGGCUCUGUCGCCGUGUCGGUGUCACGGUGUCGCGUGUCGUGUAUCGCGCUAUCGCAGUGUCCCGCUGUCCCGCUGUCGCAUGUCGCGGUAUCGCGCUGUCGCGGUGUCGCGGUGUCGCGGUGUCGCGUGUCGCUUGUCACACUGUCGCGGUGUCGCGUGUCGCGGUGUCGCUCACGGUGCGAAUCCCUGCGCGCUCAGCGCGUCCCGGCAGCGCCGCUCCAGCUCGCGGAGGCGCGCCUCGAGCCGCGGGAACGCGCCCGGGCCGUACGGGAGCGCGCACGGCUCCUGCUCCUCCUGCACCGCGUCCGCGAGGGCGAGCCCCAGGGCCGAGAGCAGCCCGCUGUGCCUGGGGACAGGGAGGGGACAC
rnacentral:lncRNA from 1 species